AUUGAACGCUGGCGGCAGGCCUUACACAUGCAAGUCGAACGAGUGGCGGACGGGUGAGUAAUGUCUGGGAAACUGCCUGAUGGAGGGGGAUAACUACUGGAAACGGUAGCUAAUACCGCAUACCAUCGGAUGUGCCCAUAUGGGAUUCGCUUGUUGGUGGGGUAACGGCUCACCAAGGCGACGAUCCCUAGCUGUUCUGAGAGGAUGACCAGCCACACUGGGACUGGGACAAGGCCCAGACUCCUACGGGAGGCAUCAGUGGAGAAUAUUGCACAAUGGGCGAAAGCCUGAUGCAGCCAUGCCGCGUGUAUGAAGAAGGCCUUCGGGUUGUAAAGUACUUUCAGCCGGGAGGCGUUACCGACAGAAGAAGCACCGGCUAACUCCGUGCCAGCAGCCGCGGUAAUUC
rnacentral:rRNA from 1 species